rnacentral:rRNA from 1 species
AGUGAACGCUGGCGGUAGGCCUAACACAUGCAAGUCGAACCGCAGCACAGUAAGAGCUUGCUCUUACGGGUGGCGAGUGGCGGACGGGUGAGGAAUACAUCGGAAUCUACUUUUUCGUGGGGGAUAACGUAGGGAAACUUACGCUAAUACCGCAUACGACCUACGGGUGAAAGCAGGGGAUCUUCGGACCUUGCGCGAUUGAAUGAGCCGAUGUCGGAUUAGCUAGUUGGCGGGGUAAAGGCCCACCAAGGCGACGAUCCGUAGCUGGUCUGAGAGGAUGAUCAGCCACACUGGAACUGAGACACGGUCCAGACUCCUACGGGAGGCAGCAGUGGGGAAUAUUGGACAAUGGGCGCAAGCCUGAUCCAGCCAUACCGCGUGGGUGAAGAAGGCCUCCGGGUUGUAAAGCCCUUUUGUUGGGAAAGAAAAGCAGCAGGUUAAUACCCCGCUGUUCUGACGGUACCCAAAGAAUAAGCACCGGCUAACUUCGUG